rnacentral:rRNA from 1 species
AGAGUUUGAUCCUGGCUCAGAUUGAACGCUGGCGGCGUGCUUAACACAUGCAAGUCGAGCGGAAAGGCCCUUCGGGGUACUCGAGCGGCGAACGGGUGAGUAACACGUGAGCAACCUGCCCCUGGCUCUGGGAUAGCUCCGGGAAACCGGGAUUAAUACCGGAUAUGACCUCCUUCUGCAUGGUGGGGGGUGGAAAGUUU